rnacentral:rRNA from 1 species
UGGGGAAUUUUGGACAAUGGGGGCAACCCUGAUCCAGCCAUGCCGCGUGUGUGAAGAAGGCCUCGGGUUGUAAACCGCUUUUGUCCGGGAAGAAAAAGGCAUCUCCUAAUACGGGGUGUCCUUGACGGUACUGGAAGAAUAAGCACCGGCUAACUACGUGCCAGCAGCCGCGGUAAUACGUAGGGUGCGAGCGUUAAUCGGAAUUACUGGGCGUAAAGCGUGCGCAGGCGGUCCGCUAAGACAGAUGUGAAAUCCCCGGGCUUAACCUGGGAACUGCAUUUGUGACUGGCGGGCUAGAGUCUGUCAGAGGGGGGUGGAAUUCCACGUGUAGCAGUGAAAUGCGUAGAGAUGUGGAAGAACACCGAUGGCGAAGGCAGCCCCCUGGGAUGAGACUGACGCUCAUGUACGAAAGCGUGGGAGCAAACAGGAUUAGAUACCCUGGUAGUCCACGCCCUAAACGAUGUCUACUAGUUGUCGGAGGGUAACUCCUUCGGUAACGCAGCUAACGCGUGAAGUAGACCGCCUGGGGAGUACGGUCGCAAGAUUA